rnacentral:rRNA from 1 species
UACGUAGGGGGCAAGCGUUGUCCGGAAUCAUUGGGCGUAAAGAGCGUGUAGGCGGCCCGGUAAGUCCGCUGUGAAAGUCGAGGGCUCAACCCUCGAAUGCCGGCGGAUACUGUCGGGCUAGAGUCCGGAAGAGGCGAGUGGAAUUCCUGGUGUAGCGGUGAAAUGCGCAGAUAUCGGAAGGAACAUCAGUGGCGAAAGCGACUUCCUGGACCAAUACUGACGCUCAUGUGCGAAAGCGUGGGGAGCAAACAGG